GCGCUAUUGGAGAAGCCUGCGUUGGAUUAGCUUGUUGGUGGGGUAAUGGCCUACCAAGGCGACGAUCCAUAGCUGGUCUGAGAGGAUGAUCAGCCACACCGGAACUGAGACACGGUCCGG
rnacentral:rRNA from 1 species